rnacentral:rRNA from 1 species
AUUCGCCCUUAGAGUUUGAUCCUGGCUCAGGACGAACGCUGGCGGCGUGCCUAACACAUGCAAGUCGAGCGGGGAUUUGGGAGCUUGCUUCCGGAUCCUAGCGGCGGACGGGUGAGUAACGCGUGAGCAACCUGCCUUUCACAGGGGGAUAACGCAUCGAAAGAUGUGCUAAUACCGCGUAAGACCACGGCACCGCAUGGUGCAGGGGUCAAAGGAGCAAUCCGGUGAGAGAUGGGCACGCGUCCGAUUAGCUAGUUGGUGAGAUAACAGCCCACCAAGGCGACGAUCAGUAGCCGACCUGAGAGGGUGAUCGGCCACAUUGGAACUGAGAAACGGUCCAGACUCCUACGGGAGGCAGCAGUGGGGAAUAUUGGGCAAUGGGCGAAAGCCUGACCCAGCAACGCCGCGUGAGGGAAGAAGGGUUUCGGCUCGUAAACCUCUGUCCUAUGGGACGAAGAAAGUGACGGUACCAUAGGAGGAAGCCCCGGCUAACUACGUGCCAGCAGCCGCGGUAAUACGUAGGGGGCGAGCGUUGUCCGGAAUGAUUGGGCGUAAAGGGCGCGUAGGCGGCCUGAUAAGUCUGGAGUGAAAGUCCUGCUUUCAAGGUGGGAAUUGCUUUGGAUACUGUCGGGCUGGAGUGCAGGAGAGGAAAGCGGAAUUACCGGUGUAGCGGUGAAAUGCGUAGAGAUCGGUAGGAACACCAGUUGGCGAAGGCGGCUUUCUGGACUGAAACUGACGCUGAGGCGCGAAAGCGUGGGGAGCAAACAGGAUUAGAUACCCUGGUAGUCCACGCGGUAAACGAUGAAUGAUAGGGGUAGGAAGUUCGACCCCCUCUGUGGCCGCAGUCAACACA